rnacentral:lncRNA from 1 species
UGGAGCAAGCGACUCUUACAGUGCCGACAAGAAGAUGCAGGUCACUGUUGCUUUGAACCACUUCGGUAAAGGAUUGGUAGAGAGGAUGCCUAGGUGCCGAUUUGGUUUUAUUCAUGUCGUCAACAAUGACUACAAUCACUGGUUCCUGUAUGCCAUUGGCGGCACCAGCAACCCUACAAUUAUCAGCCAGGGAAAUAGGUAUUCAGCGCCAGGCUUUGGGGCUAAAGAGGUGACCUGUAGGGGCCUCUUAAAGCCGGGACAGUGGAAGAAUUGGAAUUGGGUAUCACAAGGUGACCACUUCGAGAACGGUGCCUUCUUUACACCAUCAGGUAAUCCAAGUGCCAGCAAGCAAUUUGGCGCCGACAAAAUGAUGCCUUUCAAACCUGGUCAAAUGGUCCCCGAGCUCACAAAGUAUGCCGGACCACUAAGCUGCACAAUCGGCCGUCCUUGCUAAAAAUGCUAUUUUUAUAUGCAUUUGUCCUCCCUUUUUUACGUACAAUAUUUGAUACCCAAGCAUAGUACAUUUGGUAUCUUUUCUGAAUGAUUGUCAGUAAAUUUUCUUUUAUGCGAUCCCACCCUAUUCUCUUCUUCUCUCCUAGUAAUAGAUAAUCACAAUUUUUUUCUCACGCGUGACUGUGGAAAUCAUAAAUUUAGAACAUAAAUGUUUGUUUGAAAAUAACAUAUAAUGAAUAAUGAAAUGUGUGGUUUGAAAUAAAGUAACAAUAAUAACAUUGAUUAUCAUGGUGUUUUCAUCAAUCUUUAGUUGGUGUAGGCACCAAAUCAAUCAAAUACAUUAAUCUAACAUAUCUAGUAUAUAUAUUCUAUUGCAAGGUUUUUUUGGAUUUGUGGAAACCUUCAGUUUGAAGUGAGUUUAGAAUUCGCUAUGCGUCACCAAUCAUUUCAUGACAGCAAUGGAAAUUAAUGAAAUAAAAUAUUUGGUUAGAACUAAAGUUGCGUAAUUAAUUAAAAAUUUUAACAAUCGCGAGACCAUUUAGUUUCUAUAAAUUUUGCAUGUCCCAACUUACAUAUUCGGGUAAUUAGUCAUUUGUCAAAACACAUCAAAGUGAGAAAAGAAAGAAACAAGAAUCAUGGUCAUUCCUCAUAUAGUUAUAUUCGUAAUAAUGCAAUCGCAACGGUGAUUCCACCAGGUGUUCUUGCAUCACCAAGAACUAAAUUGAUUUUCUAGAACAAGAUUUAUAAUGGAGACAUCAAGUAUGUAUUUAAGGUGGUGUAUGAGUUAGAUUUCUUUAAGACUCAGCGGGGGUCGGGGAGCCGCCCAAGACAUUGCUUUUACCAGUAUAAAGUCAAAUACCGAAGCAAAAAAACUUGCAAAGCCGAGAGGACAUAGGAUUAAUAAUUCAGCACCUAUGUUUUGAGUUGCUCCAUAGUUGACGCGUGGUAUCAGCUUAGUAAGGGCUUAAAUAAUCGUAUAGAUAUUUAUAAUUGAUGGACAUAAUAAAGUAUGCUUAACAAAUUUGAAAAUCAAAAAAGAAAAUCAAUGUCUUGGUACAGUGUUAAAUUUAUGGUUUUACUAGCAUAAUAAUUGAUUUGGGUUCAAAUCCCUUCGACAACAUAUUUUAUAUUCUUUUAAAACAAUAAGAAUUAAAAUAACCUUCAAUAAUAUAACUUAUUUUAAACAUGACAGGAAUGUAUUUCUAAUUUCCGUAAUAGAGUCGAUGCUCGAUCGACUCAUGUCACCGAAUUAGUUAAGGACUUCAAUAAAUGUUAGUAUAGAUUGUAACAAUAAUGAAAUAUGCAUUAAAAAUCACCACAGAGGUUCAAUAUACACUCGAAUCUCUGUACUCUUUUAGACUUUUAAAAUUUGAAUACAUAGUGCUUUUAUAUUCAAAGGUCCAAGUAAUAAAUUAGAGUCCAAUUCAUAUCACAUAUUCAGAUUUGAGAGAAAUAAAUAAACUCUCUUACCAAUUGAACUUUUAUUUUUUAAAUCAACCAAGUGCAAGGAUUAAAAUCUUGAAAUUGAAAGGAGAGAGGUUUCAUCUGGAAAUGUUGAAGAGUAAAGGGAUUGGAGGAUAAUUAGAGAUUUUUUUUGUAAUUUCUGAAAUUAGACGUUUAGAAUGGUCUAAAAAAUGCAAGAAAACCUCAACUGUUUCUAUCCAAAAAAAAGGAAACAAAAUCCAACCAUUUUUUACGCACUUGAAACACUAGUAGCCAAGUGUGUUUUGUAAAUUUGGAAAUUUUCAUGAAUCCCGGUGUACUAUAAAUAGUGACAUAAUGAUGGUGUUCCAAGCAAAUCAUGCUCGAGUUCAAGUUUUUGGUGCCGUAGCUUGUCUCUCCUGUCCUAUUAGGGUCCUGUUUGCAUCCAACCAGUUGUUUCCAAGAGCUAGGCUUUGAUACUUAAAAUAAGAACCACUAUGGGUAUUUCUAGUUAUAGUUUCUUUCUGUUUUUAUUUGUUGUCAUAAUCCCAACCCUAGAAGCUCAUAUCGCUGAGUAUGACGAGUACUGGACGGCACGAGAAUUGGAAGCCAUUGAGAACCUGGACAAGGCCUAUCACUCCAACCCGGAGGAGGUGGUCCGCCAUUACAAUGACCACUUCUCUAGGACCAUGCUCGAGUUUUAUAUCACCAAAAGGGUGUUGGCAGAAUCAAAAAAGGGUCCCUGUGAGGUUACCAACCACGUUGACAGUUGCUGGCGAUGUGAUCCUGACUGGGAAAAGAAUAGGAAGAAGUUGGCCAACUGUGCCCCUGGAUUUGCUCGAGGUACUACCGGUGGAAAGGAUGGUGAGUUUUACGUGGUCACUGACCCUAUUGAUAAUGCUGCUGACCCCAAGCCUGGAACUCUGCGUCAUGCUGUCACCCAAACUGGACCACUUUGGAUCACUUUCAAAGGGUCCAUGACCAUCAAGCUGCAACAGGAGCUCAUUGUUACAAGUGAUAAGACCAUUGAUGCGAGGGGAGCCAAUGUGGAAAUUUGUAAUGGUGCUGGUAUCACUAUCCAAUUUGUGAAGAAUAUCAUUAUCCAUGGCCUUCAAAUCCAUCACAUUAUUCCCGCCAAGGGUGGCAAGAUCAAGGAUGGUGAAAACCACCAUGGGUUACGGGGUGACAGCGACGGAGACGGGGUGUCUAUUUUUGGAUCAACCAAUGUUUGGCUUGACCAUCUUGCCCUUCACCAUUGCGCCGAUGGCCUUAUCGAUGUCGUUCAAGGAUCAACUGCCGUUACCGUUUCUAACUGCCACUUCACUGACCAUAACGAUGUAAGCUUACUUUCCUUUCAAUUUUAAACUACGCACGAUGAGGAAUUUUUUGAUUGACAAAAAUAAUACAAUUGAAAUGAAAAAAAUUACAGGUGAUGUUGUUUGGAGCAAGCGACUCUUACAGUGCCGACAAGAAGAUGCAGGUCACUGUUGCUUUGAACCACUUCGGUAAAGGAUUGGUAGAGAGGAUGCCUAGGUGCCGAUUUGGUUUUAUUCAUGUCGUCAACAAUGACUACAAUCACUGGUUCCUGUAUGCCAUUGGCGGCACCAGCAACCCUACAAUUAUCAGCCAGGGAAAUAGGUAUUCAGCGCCAGGCUUUGGGGCUAAAGAGGUGACCUGUAGGGGCCUCUUAAAGCCGGGACAGUGGAAGAAUUGGAAUUGGGUAUCACAAGGUGACCACUUCGAGAACGGUGCCUUCUUUACACCAUCAGGUAAUCCAAGUGCCAGCAAGCAAUUUGGCGCCGACAAAAUGAUGCCUUUCAAACCUGGUCAAAUGGUCCCCGAGCUCACAAAGUAUGCCGGACCACUAAGCUGCACAAUCGGCCGUCCUUGCUAAAAAUGCUAUUUUUAUAUGCAUUUGUCCUCCCUUUUUUACGUACAAUAUUUGAUACCCAAGCAUAGUACAUUUGGUAUCUUUUCUGAAUGAUUGUCAGUAAAUUUUCUUUUAUGCGAUCCCACCCUAUUCUCUUCUUCUCUCCUAGUAAUAGAUAAUCACAAUUUUUUUCUCACGCGUGACUGUGGAAAUCAUAAAUUUAGAACAUAAAUGUUUGUUUGAAAAUAACAUAUAAUGAAUAAUGAAAUGUGUGGUUUGAAAUAAAGUAACAAUAAUAACAUUGAUUAUCAUGGUGUUUUCAUCAAUCUUUAGUUGGUGUAGGCACCAAAUCAAUCAAAUACAUUAAUCUAACAUAUCUAGUAUAUAUUCUAUUGCAAGGUUAUUUUGGAUUUGUGGAAACCUUCAGUUUGAAGUGAGUUUAGAAUUCGCUAUGCGUCACCAAUCAUUUCAUGACAGCAAUGGAAAUUAAUGAAAUAAAAUAUUUGGUUAGAACUAAAGUUGCGUAAUUAAUUAAAAAUUUUAACAAUCGCGAGACCAUUUAGUUUCUAUAAAUUUUGCAUGUCCCAACUUACAUAUUCGGGUAAUUAGUCAUUUGUCAAAACACAUCAAAGUGAGAAAAGAAAGAAACAAGAAUCAUGGUCAUUCCUCUAUAGUUAUAUUCGUAAUAAUGCAAUCGCAACGGUGAUUCCACCAGGUGUUCUUGCAUCACCAAGAACUAAAUUGAUUUUCUAGAACAAGAUUUAUAAUGGAGACAUCAAGUAUGUAUUUAAGGUGGUGUAUGAGUUAGAUUUCUUUAAGACUCAGCGGGGGUCGGGGAGCCGCCCAAGACAUUGCUUUUACCAGUAUAAAGUCAAAUACCGAAGCAAAAAAACUUGCAAAGCCGAGAGGACAUAGGAUUAAUAAUUCAGCACCUAUGUUUUGAGUUGCUCCAUAGUUGACGCGUGGUAUCAGCUUAGUAAGGGCUUAAAUAAUCGUAUAGAUAUUUAUAAUUGAUGGACAUAAUAAAGUAUGCUUAACAAAUUUGAAAAUCAAAAAAGAAAAUCAAUGUCUUGGUACAGUGUUAAAUUUAUGGUUUUACUAGCAUAAUAAUUGAUUUGGGUUCAAAUCCCUUCGACAACAUAUUUUAUAUUCUUUUAAAACAAUAAGAAUUAAAAUAACCUUCAAUAAUAUAACUUAUUUUAAACAUGACAGGAAUGUAUUUCUAAUUUCCGUAAUAGAGUCGAUGCUCGAUCGACUCAUGUCACCGAAUUAGUUAAGGACUUCAAUAAAUGUUAGUAUAGAUUGUAACAAUAAUGAAAUAUGCAUUAAAAAUCACCACAGAGGUUCAAUAUACACUCGAAUCUCUGUACUCUUUUAGACUUUUAAAAUUUGAAUACAUAGUGCUUUUAUAUUCAAAGGUCCAAGUAAUAAAUUAGAGUCCAAUUCAUAUCACAUAUUCAGAUUUGAGAGAAAUAAAUAAACUCUCUUACCAAUUGAACUUUUAUUUUUUAAAUCAACCAAGUGCAAGGAUUAAAAUCUUGAAAUUGAAAGGAGAGAGGUUUCAUCUGGAAAUGUUGAAGAGUAAAGGGAUUGGAGGAUAAUUAGAGAUUUUUUUUUGUAAUUUCUGAAAUUAGACGUUUAGAAUGGUCUAAAAAAUACAAGAAAACCUCAACUGUUUCUAUCCAAAAAAAAGGAAACAAAAUCCAACCAUUUUUUACGCACUUGAAACACUAGUAGCCAAGUGUGUUUUGUAAAUUUGGAAAUUUUCAUGAAUCCCGGUGUACUAUAAAUAGUGACAUAAUGAUGGUGUUCCAAGCAAAUCAUGCUCGAGUUCAAGUUUUUGGUGCCGUAGCUUGUCUCUCCUGUCCUAUUAGGGUCCUGUUUGCAUCCAACCAGUUGUUUCCAAGAGCUAGGCUUUGAUACUUAAAAUAAGAACCACUAUGGGUAUUUCUAGUUAUAGUUUCUUUCUGUUUUUAUUUGUUGUCAUAAUCCCAAACCUAGAAGCUCAUAUCGCUGAGUAUGACGAGUACUGGACGGCACGAGAAUUGGAAGCCAUUGAGAACCUGGACAAGGCCUAUCACUCCAACCCGGAGGAGGUGGUCCGCCAUUACAAUGACCACUUCUCUAGGACCAUGCUCGAGUUUUAUAUCACCAAAAGGGUGUUGGCAGAAUCAAAAAAGGGUCCCUGUGAGGUUACCAACCACGUUGACAGUUGCUGGCGAUGUGAUCCUGACUGGGAAAAGAAUAGGAAGAAGUUGGCCAACUGUGCCCCUGGAUUUGCUCGAGGUACUACCGGUGGAAAGGAUGGUGAGUUUUACGUGGUCACUGACCCUAUUGAUAAUGCUGCUGACCCCAAGCCUGGAACUCUGCGUCAUGCUGUCACCCAAACUGGACCACUUUGGAUCACUUUCAAAGGGUCCAUGACCAUCAAGCUGCAACAGGAGCUCAUUGUUACAAGUGAUAAGACCAUUGAUGCGAGGGGAGCCAAUGUGGAAAUUUGUAAUGGUGCUGGUAUCACUAUCCAAUUUGUGAAGAAUAUCAUUAUCCAUGGCCUUCAAAUCCAUCACAUUAUUCCCGCCAAGGGUGGCAAGAUCAAGGAUGGUGAAAACCACCAUGGGUUACGGGGUGACAGCGACGGAGACGGGGUGUCUAUUUUUGGAUCAACCAAUGUUUGGCUUGACCAUCUUGCCCUUCACCAUUGCGCCGAUGGCCUUAUCGAUGUCGUUCAAGGAUCAACUGCCGUUACCGUUUCUAACUGCCACUUCACUGACCAUAACGAUGUAAGCUUACUUUCCUUUCAAUUUUAAACUACGCACGAUGAGGAAUUUUUUGAUUGACAAAAAUAAUACAAUUGAAAUGAAAAAAAUUACAGGUGAUGUUGUUUGGAGCAAGCGACUCUUACAGUGCCGACAAGAAGAUGCAGGUCACUGUUGCUUUGAACCACUUCGGUAAAGGAUUGGUAGAGAGGAUGCCUAGGUGUCCGAUUUGGUUUUAUUCAUGUCGUCAACAAUGACUACAAUCACUGGUUCCUGUAUGCCAUUGGCGGCACCAGCAACCCUACAAUUAUCAGCCAGGGAAAUAGGUAUUCAGCGCCAGGCUUUGGGGCUAAAGAGGUGACCUGUAGGGGCCUCUUAAAGCCGGGACAGUGGAAGAAUUGGAAUUGGGUAUCACAAGGUGACCACUUCGAGAACGGUGCCUUCUUUACACCAUCAGGUAAUCCAAGUGCCAGCAAGCAAUUUGGCGCCGACAAAAUGAUGCCUUUCAAACCUGGUCAAAUGGUCCCCGAGCUCACAAAGUAUGCCGGACCACUAAGCUGCACAAUCGGCCGUCCUUGCUAAAAAUGCUAUUUUUAUAUGCAUUUGUCCUCCCUUUUUUACGUACAAUAUUUGAUACCCAAGCAUAGUACAUUUGGUAUCUUUUCUGAAUGAUUGUCAGUAAAUUUUCUUUUAUGCGAUCCCACCCUAUUCUCUUCUCCUCUCCUACUAAUAGAUAAUCACAAUUUUUUUCGAACGCGUAACUGUGGAAGUCAGAAAUUUUUAACAUAAAUGUUUGUUUGAAAAUAACAUAUAAUGAAUAAUGAAAUGUGUGGUUUGAAAUAAAGUAACAAUAAUAACAUUGAUUAUCAUGGUGUUUUCCUCAAUCUUUAGUUGGUGUAGGCACCAAAUCAAUCAAAUACAUUAAUCUAACAUAUCUAGUAUAUAUAUUCUAUUGCAAGGUUAUUUUGGAUUUGUGGAAACCUUCAGUUUGAAGUGAGUUUAGAAUUCGCUAUGCGUCACCAAUCAUUUCAUGACAGGAAUGGAAAUUAAUGAAAUAAAAUAUUUGGUUAGAACUAAAGUUGCGUAAUUAAUUAAAAAUUUUAACAAUCGCGAGACCAUUUAGUUUCUAUAAAUUUUGUAUGUCCCGACUUACAUAUUCGGGUAAUUAGUCAUUUGUCAAAACACAUCAAAGUGAGAAAAGAAAAAAACAAGAAUCAUGAGCAUUCCUCAUAUAGUAAUAUUCAUAAUAAUGCAAUCGCAACGGUGAUUCCACCAGGUGUUCUUGCAUCACCAAGAACUAAAUUGAUUUUCUAGAACAACAUUUAUAAUGGAGACAUCAAGUAUGUAUUUAAGGUGGUGUAUGAGUUUGAUUUCUUUAAGACUCGGCGGGGGUCGGGGAGCCGCCCAAGACAUUGCUUUUACCAGUAUAAAGUCAAAUACUGAAGCAAAAAAACUUGCAAAGCCGAGAGGACAUAGGAUUAAUAAUUCAGCAUCUAUGUUUUGAGUUGUUCCAUAGUUGACGCGUGGUAUCAGCUUAGUAAGGGCUUAAAUAAUCGUAGAGACAUUUAUAAUUGAUGGACAUAAUUAAGUAUGCGUAACAAAUUUGAAAUUCAUAAAAGAAAAUCAAUGCUUUGGUACAGUGUUAAAUUUAAGGUUUUACUAGCAUAAUAAUUUAAGUCACCACAGAGGUUCAAUAUACACUCGAAUCUCUGUACUCUUUUAGACUUUUAAAAUUUGAAUACAUAGUGCUUUUAUAUUCAAAGGUCCAAGUAAUAAAUUAGAGUCCAAUUCAUAUCACAUAUUCAGAUUUGAGAGAAAUAAAUAAACUCUCUUACCAAUUGAACUUUUAUUUUUUAAAUCAACCAAGUGCAAGGAUUAAAAUCUUGAAAUUGAAAGGAGAGAGGUUUCAUCUGGAAAUGUUGAAGAGUAAAGGGAUUGGAGGAUAAUUAGAGAUUUUUUUUUGUAAUUUCUGAAAUUAGACGUUUAGAAUGGUCUAAAAAAUACAAGAAAACCUCAACUGUUUCUAUCCAAAAAAAAGGAAACAAAAUCAACCAUUUUUUACGCACUUGAAACACUAGUAGCCAAGUGUGUUUUGUAAAUUUGGAAAUUUUCAUGAAUCCCGGUGUACUAUAAAUAGUGACAUAAUGAUGGUGUUUCCAAGCAAAUCAUGCUCGAGUUCAAGUUUUUGGUGCCGUAGCUUGUCUCUCCUGUCCUAUUAGGGUCCUGUUUGCAUCCAACCAGUUGUUUCCAAGAGCUAGGCUUGAUACUUAAAAUAAGAACCACUAUGGGUAUUUCUAGUUAUAGUUUCUUUCUGUUUUUAUUUGUUGUCAUAAUCCCAAACCUAGAAGCUCAUAUCGCUGAGUAUGACGAGUACUGGACGGCACGAGAAUUGGAAGCCAUUGAGAACCUGGACAAGGCCUAUCACUCCAACCCGGAGGAGGUGGUCCGCCAUUACAAUGACCACUUCUCUAGGACCAUGCUCGAGUUUUAUAUCACCAAAAGGGUGUUGGCAGAAUCAAAAAAGGGUCCCUGUGAGGUUACCAACCACGUUGACAGUUGCUGGCGAUGUGAUCCUGACUGGGAAAAGAAUAGGAAGAAGUUGGCCAACUGUGCCCCUGGAUUUGCUCGAGGUACUACCGGUGGAAAGGAUGGUGAGUUUUACGUGGUCACUGACCCUAUUGAUAAUGCUGCUGACCCGAAUCCUAGAACUCUACGUCAUCUUGUCACCAAAAAUGGACCACUUUGGAUCAUUUUCAAAGGGCCCAUGACCAUCAAGCUGCAAGAGGAGCUCAUUGUUACAAGUGAUAAAACCAUUGAUGCGAGGGGAGCCAAUGCGGAAAUUUUUACUGGUACUGGUAUCACUAUCCAAUUUCCAAAGAACGUCAUUAUCCAUGGCCUUUAAGUCCAUCUCAUUAUUCCCGCUAAGGGUGGCAAGAUCAAGGAUGGUGAAAACCACCAUGGGUUACGAGGUGACAGCGACGGAGAUGGGGUCUCUCUUUACGGAGCAACCAAUGUUUGGCUCGACCAUCUUUCCCUUCACCAUUGCACCGAUGGCCUUAUCGAUCUCGUUCAAGGAUCAACUGCCGUUACCAUUUCUAGCUGCCACUUCACUGACCACAACGAUGUAAGCUUACUUUCCUUUGUAUUUUAAACUAGGCACGAUGAGGAAUUUUUUGAUUGACAAAAAUAAUACAAUUGAAAUGUAAAAAAUUACAGGUGAUGUUGUUUAGAGCAAGCGACUCCUACAGUGCCGACAAUAAGAUGCAGGUCACUGUUGCUUUGAACCACUUCGGUAAAGGAUUGGUAGAGAGGAUGCCUAGGUGGCGAUUUGGUUUUAUUCAUGUCGUCAACAAUGACUACAAUCACUGGUUCCUGUAUGCCAUUGGCGGCACCAGCAACCCUACAAUUAUUAGCCAGGGCAAUAGGUAUUCUACGCCAGUCACCUGUAGGGGCCUCUUAAAGCCAGCACAGUGGAAGAAUUGGAACUGGGUAUCACAAGGUGACCACUUUGAGAACGGUGCGUUUUUGCACCAUCCGGUAAUCCAAGUGCCAGCAAGUAAUUUGGUACUGACAAAAUGAUUCCUUUCAAACCCGGUCAAAUGGUCUUCGAACUCACAAAGUAUGCCGGACCACUCAACUGCACAAUCAGCCGUCCUUGCUAAAAAUGCUAUUUUAUAUGCAUGUGUCCUCUGUUUUACGUACAAUAUUUGAUACCCAAGCGUAGUACAUUUGGUAUCUUUUCUGAAUGAUUGUCAGUAAAUUUUCUGUUAUGUGAUUCCACCCUAUUCUCUUCUUCACUCCUACUAAUAGAUAAUUACAAUUUUUUUCACACGCGUAACUGUGCAAAUCAUAAAUUUAGAACAUAAAUGUUUGUUUGAAAAUAACAUAUAAUGAAUAAUGAAAUGUGUGGUUUGAAACAAAGUAACAAUAAUAACAUUGAUUAUCAUAGUGUUUUCAUCAAUCUUUAGUUGGUGUAGGCACCAAAUCAAUGAAAUACAUUAAUCUAACAUAUCUAGUAUAUAUAUUCUAUUGCAAGGUUUUUUUGGAUUUGUGGAAACCUUCAGUUUGAAGUGAGUUUAGAAUUUGGUAUGUGUCACCAAUCAUUUCUUGACGGGUAUGGAAAUUAAUGAAAUAAAAUAUAUGGUUAGAACUAAAGUUGCGUAUUUAAUUAAAAAUUCUAACAAUCGUGAGACCAUUUAGUUUCUAUAAAUUUUGUAUGUCCCAAUUUACAUAGUCGGGUACUCAGUCAUUUGUCAAAACACAUCAAAGUGAGAAAAGAAAGAAACAAGAAUCAUGAGCGUUCCUCAUAUAGUAAUAUUCCUAAUAAUGCAAUCACAACGGCGAUUCCACUCUGUGUUCUUUCAUCACCAUGAACUAAAUUGAUUUUUUACAACAACAUUUAUAAUCGAGACAUCAACUAUGCAUUUAAGGUGGUGUAUGAGUUAUAUUUCUUUAAGACUCAGUGAGGGUUGGGGAGUCGUCCAAGACAUUGCUUUUACCAGUAUAAAGUCAAAUACAAAAGCAAAAAAACUUGCAAAGCCGAGAGGACAUAGGAUUAAUAAUUCGGUAUCUAUGUUUUGAGUUGCUCCUUAGUUGACGCAUGGUAUCAGCUUAGUAAGGGCUUAAAUAAUCGUAUAGAUAUUUAUAAUUGAUGGAGGUAAUAAAGCAUGCGUAACAAAAUUGAAAUUCAUAAAAGAAAAUCAAUGUUUAGGUACAGUGUUAAAUUUAAGGUUUUAGUAGCAUAAUAAUUGAUGUGGGUUCAAAUCCCUUCGACAACAUAUUUUAUAUUCUUUUAAAGUAAUAAGAAUUAAAAUAACCUUCAAUAAUAUAACUUAUUUCAAACAUGAAAGGAAAGUAUUUCUAAUUUCUGUUAUAGAGUGAUGCUCGAUCGACUCAUGUCACCAAAUUAGUUAAGGACUUCUAUAAAAGUUAGUAUAGAUUGUAACGAUAAUGAAAUAUGCAUUAAAAAUGACCAUAGAGGUUCAAUUUCCCCUUGAAUCUCUAUACUCUUUUAGACUUUUAAAAUUUGAAUACAUAGUACUUUUAUAUUCACAAGUCCAAGUAAUAAAUUAGAGUCCAAUUCAUAUCACAUAUUCAGAUUUAAGAGAAAUCAAUAAACUCUCUUACCAAUUAAACUUAUUUUUUAAAUCAGCCAAUGGAAGGAAUAAAAUCUUGAAAUUGAAAGGAGAGAGGUUUCAUAUGGAAAUGUUGAAGAGUAAAGAGAUUGGAGGAUAAUUAGAGAAUUUAUUUUCUGUAAUUUCUAAAAUUAAAGGUUCAGAAUGGCGUAAAAAAGGCAAGAAAAACCUCAAUUGUUUCUAUCUAAAAAAAAAGGAAACAAAAUCCAAAAAUUUUUUACGCACUUGUCACACUAGUAGGCAAGUGUGUUUUGUAAAUUUGGUACUUUAAAUGAAUCUUGGUGUACGAUAAAUAGUGACAUAAUGAUGAUGUUCCAAGCAAAUCAUGCUUGAGUUCAAGUUUUUUGUGUUGUAGCUUGUCUCUCCUAUCCUAUUAGGGUCUUGUUUGCAACCAACCAAUUGUUUCUAAAAGCGAGGCUUUGAUACAUAAAAUAAGAACCACUAUGGGUAUUUCUAGUUAUAGUUAUAGUUUCUUUCUAUUUUCAUUUGUUGUCAUAAUCCCAACCCUAGAAGCUCAUAUCGCUGAAUAUGACGAGUACUGGAAGGCACGAGAAUUGGAAGCCAUUGAGAACCUGGACAAGGCCUAUCAUUCCAACCCGGAGGAGGUGGUCCGCCAUUACAAUGACCACUUCUCUAGGACCAUGCUUGAGUUUUAUAUCACCAAAAGGGUGUUGGCAGAAUCAAAAAAGGAUCCCUUUGAGGUUACCAACCACGUUGACAGUUGCUGGCGAUAUGAUCUUGACUGGGAAAAGAACAGGAAGAAGUUGGUCGACUGUGCCCCUGGUUUUGCUCGUGGUACUACUGGUGGAAAGGAUGGUGAGUUUUACGUUGUCCCUAACCCUAUUGAUAACGCUGCUGACCCCAAGCCUGGAACUCUACGUCAUGCUGUCACCCAAACUGAACCACUUUGGAUCACUUUCAAAGGGUCCAUGACAAUCAAGCUGCAACAAGAGCUCAUUGUUACAAGUGAUAAAACCAUUGAUGCAAGGGAAGCCAAUGUGGAAAUUUUUAAUGGUGCUGGUAUCACUAUCCAAUAUGCGAAGAACGUCACUAACCAUGGCCUUCAAAUCCAUCACAUUAUUCCCGCCAAUGGUGGCAAGAUCAAGGAUGGUGAAAACCACCAUGGGUUACGUGGUGACAGCGACGGAGAUGGAGUCUCUCUUUUUGGAGCAACCAACGUUUGGCUCAACCAUCUUUCCCUUCACCAUUACACUGAUGGCCUUAUCGAUGUCGUUUAAGGAUCAACUGCUGUUACCAUUUCUAACUACCACUUCACUGACCACAACACUGUAAGCUUACUUUCCUUUCUAUUUUAAACUAGGCACGAUGAGGAAUUUUUUGAAUGAAAAAAAUAGUACAAUUGAAAUGAAAACAAUUACAGGUGAUGUUGUUUGGAGCAAGCGACUCUUACAGAGCCGACAAGAAGAUGCAGGUCACUGUUGCUUUGAACCACUUCGGUAAAGGAUUGGUAGAGAGGAUGCCUAGGUGCCGAUUUGGUUUUAUUCAUGUCGUCAACAAUGACUACAAUCACUGGUUCCUGUAUGCCAUUGGCGGCACCAGCAACCCUACAAUUAUCAGCCAGGGAAAUAGGUAUUCUGCACCAGGUACCUUCGGGGCUAAGAAGGUGACCUGUAGCGGCCUCUUAAAUCCAUCACAGUGAAAGAAUUGGAACUGGGUAUCACAGGGUGACCACUUCGAGAAGGGUGCCUUUUUUACACCAUCCGGUAAUCCAAGUGCCAGCAAGCAAAUUGGUGCUGACAAAAUGAUGCCUUUCAAACCCGGUCAAAUGGUCCCCGAACUCACAAAGUAUGCCG